GGAGCGUGUGAGGAAGCCGUUGGGGGAGGACCUCGAGGCGGCCUCUGGGAGCCGACAGGAACACGUGGUCGACCAGAGAGAGACUCCCAUGUGCACGGAGCAGAUGAGAGUCUCGCUCUCUUGCCCAGGCUGGGGUGCAGUGGCAUGAUCUCAGCUCACUGCAAGGUCUGCCUCCCAGUUUCACACCAUUCUUCUGCCUCAGCCUCCUGAGUAGAUGGGAGUACAGGUGCCUGCCACCACACCCAGCUAAUUUUUUGUAAUUUUAGUAGAGACGGGAUUUCACCGUGUUAGCCAGGAUGGUCUUCAUCUCCCGACCUCGUGAUCCACCCGCCUCGGCCUCCGAAAGUGCUGGGAUUACAGGCCUGAGCCACCGUGCUCAGCAUAAAGAGCUUUUUAUGGUUCACUGAGGACAAUCAACCCCUUUACAGUCUAGAACCCAAAGAUGGGAUCUUCUGAGAACAUCAGAAAAACUGCCCUUGGCAUCCACACUGCAACAAAACCUCAGGAUCUUGAAACUUGGGGUCAUAAUCUCACAACUGAGCAGGGUCGCUCCACACUCUUGGAACUGUACAUCCAUUGAAACCAUUAAGGUAGAGUUAACCAGGGAAGUUUCUCCCAGAAGAAGAUGGCAUCCUCGAUGUGAGCAGCUCUUUCCGAAGGUCAUGGAUCAAGACUUCUUACUGUCAUGAGAACAAUAGAAGUGAGAAGGGUGUCUGUUGUGUGCACCUAUGGGUUAUGCUUUUAUUUGUGAAGGAUUUUGCAGCCAGCUUUAUACAUGGAUAAUCUUAUAACUUGAUAGAUAAAAGAUGAAGGCCCAAUGUGUCAUAGGUGAGAAACUUAAAUGGUACAUACAGUGCCUCAUAAUCAUUCAGAAACAGAACAUUGGUCCGCUCCUCUUAACCCACGCCAUGGGUUACAGAGAACAUUGAAUCAUUCAGAAACAGAACAUUGGUCCGCUCCUCUUAACCCACGCCAUGGGUUAAAGAGAACAUUGCCGGGAGGCCUUCCCUCUUCUAGAAGGGCAUCAUUUGUUAGGUCCUUUUUCCAUGGUUUGGAACACAAAAGGCAAUGACUAGAAACGUGUCCCUCAAGAUAGACUCUGUAGCAGAUUCUACUGCAGCGGCUACACAACAGAUGUUAAAUUCUCUUGUGAAAGUUACGCUAAAUAAUAGAAUUGGCGAAACAGGAAAGUAUCUGUGCAGCUGCUGGCACUUAGGACCUAUGGAGAAAACAUCAGGUAUUACAGAGAUUCUGUUGUAGGGAAUUAACGAAAAGAUCACUGAGUUAAGUCAAAGAAUGAGCUUUAUCUAGCUCAUUCAUUGGUCUAUUUGAGUUGAGGUGGUUUGGUUUACGGGGACCCUGGGUAAGGAGCAUCCUCCAAAUCCUUGGUGUUGCCCUCUCAGUAGUCAUAAUAAUGGUCUCCCUGGUGCACUGGAUUCUCUCAAAGGUUUUAAAUGUUAGUGUGAAGCCAUCUUUAGAAUGUCAAAUGGUGUCUCUUCCACUGGAAUGACAAGAGCUGAAAGAAAUGUGUGACCACGAGGACACCAUAACCCGUGAGUGACAUGCUGAGACCGGAAACCCAAAAUGAUAGUAACGGAGAGUGGCGCUGAUGACCUAAGUUUUGGUCACUCUCUUGCCUAAGUGAGAACCUGACCAAAAGGGGGGAAUUUUUAAAACAAAAUGGUGGGAGGCCAUUGUUUCGGACUGAGCACUAGGUCCCAGCAAACCAAACCAAAAUGGCGUCAUUCGUGCUAAAUGUGACAUAAUUUAAUUAAGACUUUAAGGAAACACGUGGGUCCUAGAACAGACCAGGUUUUGUUUUUCUGUUGCAAACAGGACUUUCCAGCAUAAGGUGGUAUCCUCCACUCAGUCCUUGUUCCUACCUUUGCAAAACUCACUGUUCUGCUGCUUCCUAGUGAGUUUCAAGACCAAUGGUGAUAGUGACAUCAAUAACUCACGUUAUGGUCGAUCUCUCAAAACUGAGAAAAUGACCAAAAAGGGGGAAUUGUUAAAGCGAACUAAAUAUGGCCCGAGAAGGACUCCGUACUUCUGUAUUGGAGUCCUUGUGGACAAACUGAGGCUAACUUAAAAGGCAGACAAGAUUGAAAACCUAAAUUAGGAAUACGCACCUGUCACAAUCGCUGAGUCUUGGCCAGUCCCAGCAGCCAUACUUCAGUCACUCACACACUGCUCAAUGUUCAAACUGUGUUUAAAUGAGGCACAUGCCAACCUGUAUCCGAUCCAGGUGCUUCUGUACCUCCCUUCCCUUUCUUUGUCUAUAAAUCUUCCACCACGUGGCUGCACUGGAGUCUCGCUGAAUCUGCUGUAAUUCUGGGGGCUGCCCGAUUUACAAAUCAUUCAUUGCUCAAUUAAACGCCUUUACAUUUAA
rnacentral:lncRNA from 1 species